CUUCCUUCCUCAUCUUAGCCGCCAUACUCUUUUCUCUGUUCGAUCCCCUCCUUGUCUAGUCGCCAUACUCAUCAACCAUGACAUUCUUCUUUUCCUUUCCCAUUGUUAGAGCUUUUCAGCCACUGCAAGACACUCUUCUUCCUUUGAUUUUGGGAGCUCAGCCACGAGCUUCAUAGCCCAAACUCCUCUAUCCAAACUACCCUGUUGCUCUCCUCACCUAUAUUGGUUUCCUCUUGGUUGUUUUAGGUCUCUCUUGGCCGAUUUGAGUCUUGACUAUUUUUAAGGACAACAGAUUGUUGGAUGAUUUUACUGGUAUUUUUAGAGGGAACCAAACAGAGUGGUUGCAGAGUCAAUGUUGAUCAGAGUAUUGACAAAUUCAAAUUUUAAACUUUUGUAAGGGCUUCCCAAUAUGAUAGAAGUGAUGCCAAUUACAAAUGCAAUGUCAGUGAAGGGUCCUGUAGCAUGCAAAUUUUAUUCCCUAAGGGAAAUGUAGCUGUCUUAACCAAUCUUGGUUCUGAUCAGGUUGUUGAUUGCCGAAUUUGUGGUGAUCCAAACUCAGUACUUCGAUUUGUCUUCAUUGAGUUCACUGAUGAAGGUUGCUCAAGCUGAUGUUAAACUCUUUUUUGAAUCAGUCUGUGGAGAGGUUUAUCGCCUAAGGCUGCUUGGGGACUAUCAUCAUUCUACUCGUAUUGCCUUUGUUGAGUUUGUAAUGAAAUUAGGGAAGGUCUAUUGUGACAAGUAAGGUUUUCAGAUGACCAUGAAGGUUAGGUUGUGUGGCAGCCCCAUAGUUUGCUCCCAUGAGGUCUGACCGCUGACCAUAUAUGAAGGAAGAAAGUAGCUUGUAGUGACCACAUUGACCAUAGGCCCUCAUCUUCUGUAAUAUAUUAAUAAAUCACCAAGGCUUCUGUCUUUCUUUAGGAUCAUUUUUUCAUCCUUGGCAUACGAGAGGAAGCAAUAACUAUUGAUUUUUCAUCUCACUUGGAUGUGACCUUUCCUACCACUUUUAAGUUUUCACGGA